GAUUAUGGCUCAGAACGAACGCUGGUGGCGUGUCUUAUACAUGCAAGUCGAGCGAGGCAGCAAUGCCGAGCGGCGAACGGGUGAGUAACGCGUAAGCAAUCUGCCCCAUAUCAGGAAAUACCCGUGCCAACGCGCGGUUAAUGUCCAGGAGAGUGGCCCUCUGCAUGGAGGGUUGACUAGAGAUUUAUCGGUAUGGGAUGAGCUUGCGUCCGAUUAGCUAGUUGGCGGGGCAACGGCCCACCAAGGCGACGAUCGGUAGCCGGCCUGAGAGGGUGAUCGGCCACAUUGGGACUGAGAUACGGCCCAGACUCCUACGGGAGGCAGCAGUAGGGAAUAUUGCACAAUGGGGGAAACCCUGAUGCAGCAACGCCAACCGUGUGGGAAGAAGCAUUUCGGUGUGUAAACCACUGUCAUGAGGGAAUAAGGCCCUUAUUCGUAAGGGAUUGAAUGUACCUUGAGAGGAAGCACCGGCAAACUUCGUGCCAGCCGCGGC
rnacentral:rRNA from 1 species